GUUCUUAAAGCAGGUUUCUCCUGCCUGACCUACCACCUUCCCUUGCCCAGGCCCAGCCUGCAGGAAGCCCUGCAGUGUAUGUGUGGUAACGCCAUGUCUGUGCCCCUGCUCACUGACGCUGCCACCGUGUCUGGAGCUGAGCGGGAAACGGCCGCGGUUAUUUUUUUACAUGGACUUGGAGACACAGGGCACAGCUGGGCUGACGCCCUCUCCACCAUCCGGCUUCCUCAUGUCAAGUACAUCUGUCCUCAUGCGUGAGUGUCACCCCAGCAAUAGAGGGGCUGGGGGAAGGGUGGCCCUCUAGUCCUAGGCCUGGUUCUUUUCAUCAGCUGCCUCCUGGGGCUUGGGCUUAAAGCAGUCAGGCCUUGUUCAGCCUCACCUCGCUAGAGCUAGGAAUGGGCUCCAGUUCUUGCCUUCGCCCACCCCCAGGGCUUCCUGGACCCAAGACCUCCUAAAAAGAAC